GGAGGCCGACACGGGAGUCCCGGGACCGGGGGCUGAGAGUGGACACGCCGUCCUUACCGUCACACCUGAUCCGGGUCAUGCCGGCGAAGGGAGGGAACGUGGCUCAG
rnacentral:ncRNA from 1 species